rnacentral:lncRNA from 1 species
UUUAAAAUAUCUAGAGGGUCAUUUUAUUCAUUUAAAAAAUAAGAAAAAUUGGAGAAAGGACCACUAAUUACUCGCACACGGCGUAGUACAAGAAAAGCUGGCAAAAGACUUUGGAGGAGACGUGUGAGUGACUCUUCUUAAAAAUGGGUGAGGAGCCAAAAAAAAAUCAUAUCAUAUCCUGAUACUCUAUUUUUUUUAGAAGAAAGAUAUUAAUGGAAAGUUUAGAAAAGUGCAUAGAAAAGAUAAUAAAAGAAUUUUAGUAAAAAGGAAAUUCGAUCCUCUCUCACCAAUAACAUACAUCGCCUAUAUCAUUGUCAUCUAUCUAUUUCAAUUUUCCCAAAAGAAAAGUACAACAAAAUAUAAGUGGAAGACCAUUUUCAUUUUCUAUAAAAAAACAUAGUACCUCCAAGUUCUCCUUUUGUCACAAACUCUUUUUCUGAAUAUUGAAGCAAACAACUAUUGUUUUCAACUCCACAAAAAUCUCUCUAUUUUUCAACCACCAUAAACCAUUUUAUUUUCUUCUUCAUGCUCCCACAACACACCAUAUGUUUUUUUCUUCCAACCAUACAUCAUACACUACAUAAACCAUUUACACCCACUUCAUACACCAAAAACAAAAAAACAUUAAAAACAUGAGCAAGAACAACUUUCAUCAUCAUCACCUCCAUCUUUCAUUAUCAUCAUCUUCCAACACAACUAAACCAUAUUCAAUCAUCAUCUUCUUUCUCCCUACUCACCAUCCAAAGAUCUUAAAGUAUUUCACUCUCUAAACUCAAACAAACAACCAACAAUCUUCAACAACAAAAAACUCCAAACACCUACUUGCAUCUUCGACGGCCACCGAAAACGAAGCUUAACUAACCGAGCAUCACUUCACCGCGCCGUUAGCCAAAUUCGACGCAACGACCACUACCGGCGAGUGUUGAGACGGUGAGCGGAGAGAGUUUGAUAUACUUAUUUUAUUCUUUUUAUUAUUGUUGUUGUUCUUGAAAUUGGAAAAAAGUUCUUGCUUUUUUUUUAAAAUAGAAAAAAUAGAAAAAGUGAAGAAAGAAUAUGAUGUUUUUGUUGCUGAAAGAUAAAGGGGAAGGAGAAGAGGGAAAAAAAAAUUAAAACCCUCUUCAUGUAUGCCAAAUGUCGCAUGGUGGGAGGUGUUUCUUUUUUUAUUUUAAAAUUUUAAUUUUGUCUCUCUGUCAUAUUAAUCUCACCGCCUUUUUAUUUUUAUUUUAUUUAUUUAUCUAUUUAUUUUGUGUCAUUUAUUGCUAUUAUAUUUACUAGCGUCUAGACGGGCACUCGCGUGCCCGCCUAUCCGCUUUUUUAAUGCACAUCAUUGAAAAUAUAAGUGACAUUUUUUAUUUAAAUAUAAUUUUUAAAAAAUACAACACGUGGAAGUUAUUAAUAGGAAGUAACGUGGAAGUUAAUAAUAGUGGUUUUAUUGGAAGUUAUUAGGUAAAUUACAGAAUAAAAUAAGGAUAAAAAUGGUAGAAAAAUAGGCUACACCAAAAGAAAGUAUUCCCUUUAUAUAUUUUUUAUAGAUUAUAGAUAUUUAUAACUAUUAUUAUUAUUAUUAUUAUUAUUAUUAUUAUUAUUAUUAUUAUUAUAUUAUUAUUAUUAUUAUUAUUAGUGAUUAUUAUUCACAGUAUUGAUUAUGAUUAUCAUUAUUAUUUUUGUUCAUUACUACUAUUUUCAUUAUUCUUAUUAUUAUCAUUAUUACUAUUAUUAUUAUUUGAUUAUUAUUAUUAUUAUUAUUAUUAUUAGUUAUCAUUAUUUAUUAUUGUUGUUAUAAUUUUUUAGUUAUUAAUUAUUAUCGUAACCACUAACUAUUAGUUUGUUUAUUAUUGUUAAUUUUAUUGUUGAUUAUUGUUUGUAUCUAUUUACUAUUAUUAAAUAUUAUUGUUAUUAUAAUUUUUAUAUUAUUAAUAUUUAUUUGACUAAUUAUUUUUAUUUUUAUUUAUUUGUUUUUAUUAUUAUUUACCAUUAUUUUUAUUAUUAUAACUUUAAUUGUUUACUAUCAUGGUUAUUAUUAUUUAUUGAGUUAAUUAAAUUAUUUAAGUUGUUAAAUAGAAAGAUUCAAUUUAUUUGUUCCGAUCGAUUUUUUACAGAUGCCUUGCAAUUUCGAAGUUAAAAAUUCAAUUUAACUUCAGAAAUUGCUUUAGCGCAUAAAAUUUUGUUGAUUGGCACUAGAUAUGGUGAUUUCUACAUGAAUCGCCUUACGAUUUCUUAGCAUAACGCUAAAUUAUGUAGUUCAAUUUUUUUUUAUUUCGAGUCAUUUGGCUUUCUCUUGGGCCUUCUUACAACGAGAUUCUUUAUUUUAUAAUUGUCUUUCAAAGCUUGUAUGAUUUAAUUAUUAUGUUGUAUUCACAUCCAAUAAAAUGUACCCCCAUUCCCG